GAUGAACGCUGGCGGCGUGCUUAACACACGCAAGUCGAACGAAGCACUUUAACCUGAUUCUUCGGAUGAAGGUUUUUGUGACUGAGUGGCGGACGGGUGAGUAACGCGUGGGUAACCUGCCUCAUACAGGGGGAUAACAGUUAGAAAUGACUGCUAAUACCGCAUAAGACCACAGAGCCGCAUGGCUCGGUGGGAAAAACUCCGGUGGUAUGAGAUGGACCCGCGUCUGAUUAGGUAGUUGGUGGGGUAACGGCCUACCAAGCCAACGAUCAGUAGCCGACCGGGUAGGGGGACCGGCCACAUUGGGACUGCGACACGGCCCAAACUCCUACGGGAGGCAGCAGUGGGGAAUAUUGCACAAUGGGGGAAACCCUGAUGCAGCGACGCCGCGUGAGCGAAGAAGUAGUUCGGUAUGUAAAGCUCUAUCAGCAGGGAAGAAAAUGACGGUACCUGACUAAGAAGCACCGGCUAAAUACGUG
rnacentral:rRNA from 1 species